GAAGAGUUGCAAACCAAAUACAUGUGGAAACAGCUUGCUCGUUUUUACCGACAAAUCGUUUUCAGUUAUUAUUGGAAUCGUUCCUGCUUCAAUGUAUUCGUAUACACUCGCGUGUUCAAAAUGGCUCCUGUAUACAGUAAAAUUUGGAAAUGUUUCACAAAAACCGACGAUGCAAAUUUUGUAAAAUGUACUCUUUGUGCGAAAAAGCAGAAGAUUUCAAAUAACACAACCAACAUGAUUCAGCAUAUAAAGCUUAAUCAAAUACCAGCUAUAAUGCCGUAUCGCAAUUGAAGAAAGUAUUAAGGCAAUGCUGUUCAGUAGCAGGAGUUUGAUGAAAAUAUGUA